CGACCGGCGCACGGGUGAGUAACGCGUAUCCAACCUGCCUUACACUCUUGGACAGCCUUCUGAAAGGGAGAUUAAUACAAGAUGUUAUCAUGAGUAAGCAUUUUCGCAUGAUUAAAGGUUUACCGGUGUAAGAUGGGGAUGCGUUCCAUUAGAUAGUAGGCGGGGUAACGGCCCACCUAGUCUUCGAUGGAUAGGGGUUCUGAGAGGAAGGUCCCCCACAUUGGAACUGAGACACGGCCCAG
rnacentral:rRNA from 1 species